CUAUUAAGGACAUUUGUGAUUC
rnacentral:miRNA from 1 species